UACAUAGGGUGCAAGCGUUGUCCGGAAUUAUUGGGCGUAAAGAGCUCGUAGGUUGUUUGUUACGUCGGAUGUGAAAACCUGAGGCCCAACCUCAGGCCUGCAUUCGAUACGGGCAAACUAGAGUUUGGUAGGGGAGACUGGAAUUCCUGGUGUAGCGGUGGAAUGCGCAGAUAUCAGGAAGAACACCAGUGGCGAAGGCGGUGCUCUGGGCCGGAACUGACGCUGAGGAGCGAAAGCGUGGGGAGCAAACAGG
rnacentral:rRNA from 1 species